rnacentral:rRNA from 1 species
AAAGACGCUGGCGGCAGGCCUACACAUGCAAGUCGAACGGUAGCACAGAGGAGCUUGCUCCUUGGGUGACGAGUGGCGGACGGGUGAGUAAUGUCUGGGAAACUGCCCGAUGGAGGGGGAUAACUACUGGAAACGGUAGCUAAUACCGCAUAACGUCGCAAGACCAAAGAGGGGGACCUUCGGGCCUCUUGCCAUCGGAUGUGCCCAGAUGGGAUUAGCUAGUAGGUGGGGUAACGGCUCACCUAGGCGACGAUCCCUAGCUGGUCUGAGAGGAUGACCAGCCACACUGGAACUGAGACACGGUCCAGACUCCUACGGGAGGCAGCAGUGGGGAAUAUUGCACAAUGGGCGCAAGCCUGAUGCAGCCAUGCCGCGUGUAUGAAGAAGGCCUUCGGGUUGUAAAGUACUUUCAGCGAGGAGGAAGGCGUUGUGGUUAAUAACCGCAGCGAUUGACGUUACUCGCAGAAGAAGCACCGGCUAACUCCGUGCCAGCCGCCGCGGUA